AUUUAUAUAGUUUAACUUAAAACACUUCAUUUUCAAUGAAGAAAUAAAUUUAUUUUUAUAAAUA
rnacentral:tRNA from 1 species